rnacentral:rRNA from 1 species
UACAGAGGUCUCAAGCGUUGUUCGGAUUCAUUGGGCGUAAAGGGUGCGUAGGCGGCGCGGUAAGUCGGGUGUGAAAUCUUGGAGCUUAACUCCGAAACUGCAUUCGAUACUGCCGUGCUUGAGGACUGGAGAGGAGACUGGAAUUUACGGUGUAGCGGUGAAAUGCGUAGAUAUCGUGAGGAAGACCAGUGGCGAAGGCGGGUCUCUGGACAGUUCCUGACGCUGAGGCACGAAGGUCAGGGGAGCAAACGGG